AGAACGAACGCUGGCGGCAUGCCUAACACAUGCAAGUCGAACGAGACCUUCGGGUCUAGUGGCGCACGGGUGCGUAACGCGUGGGAAUCUGCCCUUGGGUUCGGAAUAACAGUUGGAAACGACUGCUAAUACCGGAUGAUGACGUAAGUCCAAAGAUUUAUCGCCCAGGGAUGAGCCCGCGUAGGAUUAGCUAGUUGGUGAGGUAAAGGCUCACCAAGGCGACGAUCCAUAGCUGGUCUGAGAGGAUGAUCAGCCACACUGGGACUGAGACACGGCCCAGACUCCUACGGGAGGCAGCAGUGGGGAAUAUUGGACAAUGGGCGAAAGCCUGAUCCAGCAAUGCCGCGUGAGUGAUGAAGGCCUUAGGGUGUAAGCACUUAAGUUGGAGAGGCAGUUACCUAAUACGUAUCUGUUUGACGUUACCGACAGAAUAAGCACCGGCUAACUCUGUGCCAGCAGCCGC
rnacentral:rRNA from 1 species